GACGAACGCUGGCGGCGUGCCUAACACAUGCAAGUCGAACGGAGAUGUUGAUUUCGGUUGACGUCUUAGUGGCGAACGGGUGAGUAACGCGUGAACAAUCUGACCUUAAGAGGGGGAUAACAACGAGAAAUCGUUGCUAAUACCGCAUAAGACCACAAUGCCGCAUGGCGAAGGGGUCAAAGGAGCAAUCCGCUUAAGGAGGGGUUCGCGUCCCAUUAGGUAGUAGGUGAGGUAACGGCUCACCUAGCCGACGAUGGGUAGCCGAGCUGAGAGGCUGAUCGGCCACACUGGAACUGAGACACGGUCCAGACUCCUACGGGAGGCAGCAGUGGGGAAUAUUGGGCAAUGGGCGCAAGCCUGACCCAGCAACGCCGCGUGAGGGAAGAAGGUUUCGGAUUGUAAACCUCUGUCGCAGAUGACGAAACAAAUGACGGUGAUCUGUGAGGAAGCCCCGGCUAACUACGUGCCAGCAGCCGCGGU
rnacentral:rRNA from 1 species